AUUGAACGCUGGCGGCAGGCCUAACACAUGCAAGUCGAGCGGAUGAAGGGAGCUUGCUCCUGGAUUCAGCGGCGGACGGGUGAGUAAUGCCUAGGAAUCUGCCUGGUAGUGGGGGAUAACGUCCGGAAACGGGCGCUAAUACCGCAUACGUCCUGAGGGAGAAAGUGGGGGAUCUUCGGACCUCACGCUAUCAGAUGAGCCUAGGUCGGAUUAGCUAGUUGGUGGGGUAAAGGCCUACCAAGGCGACGAUCCGUAACUGGUCUGAGAGGAUGAUCAGUCACACUGGAACUGAGACACGGUCCAGACUCCUACGGGAGGCAGCAGUGGGGAAUAUUGGACAAUGGGCGAAAGCCUGAUCCAGCCAUGCCGCGUGUGUGAAGAAGGUCUUCGGAUUGUAAAGCACUUUAAGUUGGGAGGAAGGGCAGUAAGUUAAUACCUUGCUGUUUUGACGUUACCAACAGAAUAAGCACCGGCUAACUUCGUGCCAGCAGCCGCGGUAAUACGAAGGGUGCAAGCGUUAAUCGGAAUUACUGGGCGUAAAGCGCGCGUAGGUGGUUCAGCAAGUUGGAUGUGAAAUCCCCGGGCUCAACCUGUGAACUGCAUCCAAAACUACUGAGCUAGAGUACGGUAGAGGGUGGUGGAAUUUCCUGUGUAGCGGUGAAAUGCGUAGAUAUAGGAAGGAACACCAGUGGCGAAGGCGACCACCUGGACUGAUACUGACACUGAGGUGCGAAAGCGUGGGGAGCAAACAGGAUUAGAUACCCUGGUAGUCCACGCCGUAAACGAUGUCGACUAGCCGUUGGGAUCCUUGAGAUCUUAGUGGCGCAGCUGACGCGAUAAGUCGACCGCCUGGGGAGUACGGCCGCAAGGUUA
rnacentral:rRNA from 1 species